CGGGUGAGUAACACGUGGAUAACCUACCUAUAAGACUGGGAUAACUUCGGGAAACCGGAGCUAAUACCGGAUAAUAUUUUGAACCGCAUGGUUCAAAAGUGAAAGACGGUCUUGCUGUCACUUAUAGAUGGAUCCGCGCUGCAUUAGCUAGUUGGUAAGGUAACGGCUUACCAAGGCAACGAUGCAUAGCCGACCUGAGAGGGUGAUCGGCCACACUGGAACUGAGACACGGUCCAGACUCCUACGGGGAGGCAGCAGUC
rnacentral:rRNA from 1 species